AGCGAACGCUGGCGGCAGGCCUAACACAUGCAAGUCGAACGAACCUUUCGGGGUUAGUGGCGGACGGGUGAGUAACACGUGGGAACGUGCCUCUAGGUUCGGAAUAACUCAGGGAAACUUGUGCUAAUACCGAAUGUGCCCUUCGGGGGAAAGAUUAAUCGCCUUUAGAGCGGCCCGCGUCUGAUUAGCUAGUUGGUUGAGGUAAUGGCUCACCAAGGCGACGAUCAGUAGCUGGUCUGAGAGGAUGAUCAGCCACAUUGGGACUGAGACACGGCCCAAACUCCUACGGGAGGCAGCAGUGGGGAAUCUUGCGCAAUGGGCGAAAGCCUGACGCAGCCAUGCCGCGUGAAUGAUGAAGGUCUUAGGAUUGUAAAAUUCUUUCACCGGGGACGAUAAUGACGGUACCCGGAGAAGAAGCCCCGGCUAACUUCGUG
rnacentral:rRNA from 1 species